rnacentral:rRNA from 1 species
UACAUGUGGGGCAAGCGUUGUUCGGAAUUACUGGGCAUAAAGGGUGUGUAGGCGGCUUGUUAAGUCAGGGGUGAAAGUUUUCGGCCCAACCGGAAAAUUGCCUUUGAUACUGGCGAGCUGGAGUGCGUGAGGGGUGACCGGAACGAGUGGUGUAGCGGUGAAAUGCGUAGAUAUCACUCGGAAGGCCAACGGCGAAGGCAGGUCACUGGUGCGCAACUGACGCUGAGGCACGAAAGCGUGGGGAGCAAACAGG